AUUGAACGCUGGCGGCAGGCUUAACACAUGCAAGUCGAGCGGGGGAAGGUAGCUUGCUACUGGACCUAGCGGCGGACGGGUGAGUAAUGCUUAGGAAUCUGCCUAUUAGUGGGGGACAACAUCUCGAAAGGGAUGCUAAUACCGCAUACGUCCUACGGGAGAAAGCAGGGGAUCUUCGGACCUUGCGCUAAUAGAUGAGCCUAAGUCGGAUUAGCUAGUUGGUGGGGUAAAGGCCUACCAAGGCGACGAUCUGUAGCGGGUCUGAGAGGAUGAUCCGCCACACUGGGACUGAGACACGGCCCAGACUCCUACGGGAGGCAGCAGUGGGGAAUAUUGGACAAUGGGGGGAACCCUGAUCCAGCCAUGCCGCGUGUGUGAAGAAGGCCUUAUGGUUGUAAAGCACUUUAAGCGAGGAGGAGGCUACUUUAGUUAAUACCUAGAGAUAGUGGACGUUACUCGCAGAAUAAGCACCGGCUAACUCUGUGCCAGCAGCCGCGGUAAUACAGAGGGUGCGAGCGUUAAUCGGAUUUACUGGGCGUAAAGCGUGCGUAGGCGGCUUAUUAAGUCGGAUGUGAAAUCCCCGAGCUUAACUUGGGAAUUGCAUUCGAUACUGGUGAGCUAGAGUAUGGGAGAGGAUGGUAGAAUUCCAGGUGUAGCGGUGAAAUGCGUAGAGAUCUGGAGGAAUACCGAUGGCGAAAGCAGCCAUCUGGCCUAAUACUGACGCUGAGGUACGAAAGCAUGGGGAGCAAACAGGAUUAGAUACCCUGGUAGUCCAUGCCGUAAACGAUGUCUACUAGCCGUUGGGGCCUU
rnacentral:rRNA from 1 species